rnacentral:rRNA from 1 species
GAUGAACGCUGGCGGCGUGCCUAAUACAUGCAAGUCGAACGGAAAGGCCUCUUCGGAGGUACUCGAGUGGCGGACGGCUGAGUAACGCGUAGGAAUGUACCCCAAAGUGAGGAAUAACCUCGAGAAAUCGAGGCUAAUACCGCAUGUGCUCUAAGGAGUAAAGCUUCGGCGCUUUGGGAACAGCCUGCGUAAGAUUAGCUUGUUGGUGAGGUAAUGGCUCACCAAGGCGACGAUCUUUAGCUGGUCUGAGAGGAUGAUCAGCCAGACUGGGACUGAGACACGGCCCAGACUCCUACGGGAGGCAGCAGUAGGGAAUUUUCCACAAUGGACGAAAGUCUGAUGGAGCAACGCCGCGUGCAGGAUGAAGGCCCUUGGGUUGUAAACUGCUUUUAUAUGUGAAGAUAAUGACGGUAGCAUAUGAAUAAGGAUCGGCUAACUCCGUGCCAGCCGCCGCUGUAA